rnacentral:misc_RNA from 1 species
GAUGAAGAACGUAGCGAAAUGCGAUACUUGGUGUGAAUUGCAGAAUCCCGUGAACCAUCGAGUCUUUGAACGCACAUUGCGCCCCCUGGUAUUCCGGGGGGCAUGCCUGUCCGAGCGUCAUUGCUGCCCUCAAGCACGGCUUGUGUGUUGGGCCCCGUCCUCCGAUCCCGGGGGACGGGCCCGAAAGGCAGCGGCGGCACCGCGUCCGGUCCUCGAGCGUAUGGGGCUUUGUCACCCGCUCUGUAGGCCCGGCCGGCGCUUGCCGAUCAACCCAAAUUUUUAUCCAGGUUGACCUCGGAUCAGGUAGGGAUACCCGCUGAACUUAAGCAUAUCAAUAAGCGGAGGA